CAGCAGCCGCGGGAAUACGAAGGGUGCAAGCGUUAAUCGGAAUUACUGGGCGUAAAGCGCGCGUAGGUGGUUUGUUAAGUUGGAGGUGAAAUCCCCGGGCUCAACCUGGGAACUGCCUCCAAAACUGGCUGACUAGAGUACGGUAGAGGGUGGUGGAAUUUCCUGUGUAGCGGUGAAAUGCGUAGAUAUAGGAAGGAACACCAGUGGCGAAGGCGACCACCUGGACUGAUACUGACACUGAGGUGCGAAAGCGUGGGGAGCAAACAGGAUUAGAUACCCCAGUAGUCCCUGUCUCUUAUAC
rnacentral:rRNA from 1 species